rnacentral:rRNA from 1 species
UACGGGGGGAGCAAGCGUUGUUCGGAUUUACUGGGCGUAAAGGGCGCGUAGGCGGCGCAACAAGUCACUUGUGAAAUCUCCGGGCUUAACCCGGAGCGGCCAAGUGAUACUGUCGUGCUAGAGUGCGGAAGGGGCUACUGGAAUUCUCGGUGUAGCGGUGAAAUGCGUAGAUAUCGAGAGGACCACCUGCGGCGAAGGCGGGUAGCUGGGCCGACACUGACGCUGAUGCGCGAAAGCCAGGGGAGCGAACGGG